AGGCUUUGAUCCUGGCUCAGGAUGAACGCUAGCGGCAGGCCUAACACAUGCAAGUCGAGGGGUAGAGGAAGCUUGCUUCCUUGAGACCGGCGCACGGGUGCGUAACGCGUAUGCAAUCUACCUUGUACAGGGGAAUAGCCCAGAGAAAUUUGGAUUAAUGCCCCAUGGUAUAUAGUUUUCGCAUGAUUACUAUAUUAAAGAUUUAUCGGUACAAGAUGAGCAUGCGUCCCAUUAGUUAGUUGGUGUGGUAACGGCACACCAAGACGAUGAUGGGUAGGGGUCCUGAGAGGGAGAUCCCCCACACUGGUACUGAGACACGGACCAGACUCCUACGGGAGGCAGCAGUGAGGAAUAUUGGGCAAUGGGCGAGAGCCUGACCCAGCCAUGCCGCGUGCAGGAAGACGGUCCUAUGGAUUGUAAACUGCUUUUAUACGGGAAGAAACACUCCGUUCGUGAAGGAGCUUGACGGUACCGUAAGAAUAAGGAUCGGGUAAAUCCGAU
rnacentral:rRNA from 1 species